rnacentral:rRNA from 1 species
UGCCUCACACUGGGGGGAUAACAGUUAGAAAUGACUGCUAAUACCGCAUAAGUGCACAGUACCGCAUGGUACNGUGUAAAAACUCCGGUGGUGUGAGAUGGACCCGCGUCUGAUUAGCUAGUUGGCGGGGUAACGGCCCACCAAGGCGACGAUCAGUAGCCGGCCUGAGAGGUGAACGGCCACAGUUGGGACUGGAGACACGGCCCAAACUCCUACGGGGAGGCAGCAGGUGGGGAAUAUUGCACAAUGGGGGAAACCCUGAUGCAGCAAUGCCGCGUGAGUGAAGAAGUAUUUCGGUAUGUAAAGCUCUAACAGCAGGGAAGAAAAUGACGGUACCUGACUAAGAAGCUCCGGCUAAAUACGUG